UAAUACGAGGGGGGCAAGCGUUGUUCGGAAUUAUUGGGCGUAAAGGGUGCGUAGGCGGUCUGACAAGUCUGAUGUGAAAUCUAUGGGCUCAACCCAUAGUCUGCAUCGGAAACUGUCGGGCUUGAGUAUGGGAGAGGUGAGUGGAAUUUCCGGUGUAGCGGUGAAAUGCGUAGAUAUCGGAAGGAACACCUGUGGCGAAAGCGGCUCACUGGACCAUUACUGACGCUGAGGCACGAAAGCUAGGGGAGCAAACAGGAUUAGAUACCCUGGUAGUCCUAGCCCUAAACGAUGAUUGCUUGAUGUGGCAGGUACCCAAUCCUGCCGUGUCGAAGCUAACGCGAUAAGCAAUCCGCCUGGGGAGUACGGUCGCAAGGCUG
rnacentral:rRNA from 1 species